rnacentral:rRNA from 1 species
UUAAGUGAAUAAGGGCGCACGGUGGAUGCCUUGGCACUAGGAGCCGAUGAAGGACGGGACUAACACCGAUAUGCUUUGGGGAGCUGUAAGUAAGCUAUGAUCCAGAGAUUUCCGAAUGGGGGAACCCAAUAUCUUUUAUAGGAUAUUACUUUUCAGUGAAUACAUAGCUGAUUAGAGGUAGACGCAGAGAACUGAAACAUCUUAGUACCUGCAGGAAGAGAAAGAAAAUUCGAUUCCCUGAGUAGCGGCGAGCGAAACGGGAAGAGCCCAAACCAACAAGCUUGCUUGUUGGGGUUGUAGGACUCCAAUAUGGUAGUCUGUUAGUAUAGUUGAAGGAUUUGGAAAAUUCCGCUAAAGAGGGUGAAAGCCCCGUAGACGAAAUGCUGACAACACCUAGGAGGAUCCUGAGUACGGCGGAACACGAGAAAUUCCGUCGGAAUCCGCGGGGACCAUCCCGCAAGGCUAAAUACUCCCUAGUGACCGAUAGUGAACCAGUACCGUGAGGGAAAGGUGAAAAGCACCCCGGAAGGGGAGUGAAAUAGAUCCUGAAACCGUGUGCCUACAACAAGUCAAAGCUCGUUAAUGAGUGAUGGCGUGCCUUUUGUAGAAUGAACCGGCGAGUUACGAUUGCAUGCGAGGUUAAGUCGAAGAGACGGAGCCGCAGCGAAAGCGAGUCUGAAUAGGGCGAAUGAGUAUGUAGUCGUAGACCCGAAACCAUGUGAUCUACCCAUGUCCAGGUUGAAGGUGCGGUAAAACGCACUGGAGGACCGAACCCACGUACGUUGAAAAGUGCGGGGAUGAGGUGUGGGUAGCGGAGAAAUUCCAAACGAACUUGGAGAUAGCUGGUUCUCUCCGAAAUAGCUUUAGGGCUAGCCUCGGAAUUGAGAAUGAUGGAGGUAGAGCACUGUUUGGACUAGGGGCCCAUCUCGGGUUACCGAAUUCAGAUAAACUCCGAAUGCCAUUCAUUUAUAUCCGGGAGUCAGACUGCGAGUGAUAAGAUCCGUAGUCGAAAGGGAAACAGCCCAGACCACCAGCUAAGGUCCCAAAAUAUAUGUUAAGUGGAAAAGGAUGUGGGGUUGCACAGACAACUAGGAUGUUGGCUUAGAAGCAGCCACCAUUUAAAGAGUGCGUAAUAGCUCACUAGUCGAGUGACCCUGCGCCGAAAAUGUACCGGGGCUAAACAUAUUACCGAAGCUGUGGACUACACCAUUAGGUGUAGUGGUAGGAGAGCGUUCUAAGGGCGUUGAAGGUCGAUCGUGAGGACGGCUGGAGCGCUUAGAAGUGAGAAUGCCGGUAUGAGUAGCGAAAGACAGGUGAGAAUCCUGUCCACCGUAUGACUAAGGUUUCCUGGGGAAGGCUCGUCCGCCCAGGGUUAGUCGGGACCUAAGCCGAGGCCGAUAGGCGUAGGCGAUGGACAACAGGUUGAUAUUCCUGUACCAGUUGUUUUUGUUUGAGCAAUGGAGGGACGCAGUAGGCUAAGGAAUGCAUGCGAUUGGAAGUGCAUGUCCAAGCAAUGAGUCUUGAGUAGAGUUAAAUGCUUUACUCUCUAAGGACAAGUUGUGACGGGGAGCGAAAUAAUAGUAGCGAAGUUCCUGAUGUCACACUGCCAAGAAAAGCUUCUAGUGAGAAAACAACUGCCCGUACCGUAAACCGACACAGGUAGUCGAGGAGAGUAUCCUAAGGUGAGCGAGCGAACUCUCGUUAAGGAACUCGGCAAAAUGACCCCGUAACUUCGGGAGAAGGGGUGCUGACUUCGGUCAGCCGCAGUGAAUAGGCCCAAGCGACUGUUUAUCAAAAACACAGGUCUCUGCAAAAUCGUAAGAUGAAGUAUAGGGGUUGACGCCUGCCCGGUGCUGGAAGGUUAAGAGGAUGGGUUAGCUUCGGCGAAGCUCAGAAUUGAAGCCCCAGUAAACGGCGGCCGUAACUAUAACGGUCCUAAGGUAGCGAAAUUCCUUGUCGGGUAAGUUCCGACCCGCACGAAAGGCGUAACGAUUUGGGCACUGUCUCAACGAGAGACUCGGUGAAAUUUUAGUACCUGUGAAGAUGCAGGUUACCCGCGACAGGACGGAAAGACCCCAUGGAGCUUUACUGUAGUUUGAUAUUGAGUGUUUGUACCACAUGUACAGGAUAGGUAGGAGCCGAUGAGACCGGAACGCUAGUUUCGGAGGAGGCGCUGGUGGGAUACUACCCUUGUGUUAUGAACCCUCUAACCCGCACCACUAAUCGUGGUGGGAGACAGUGUCAGAUGGGCAGUUUGACUGGGGCGGUCGCCUCCUAAAAGGUAACGGAGGCGCCCAAAGGUUCCCUCAGAAUGGUUGGAAAUCAUUCGAAGAGUGUAAAGGCAGAAGGGAGCUUGACUGCGAGACCUACAAGUCGAGCAGGGACGAAAGUCGGGCUUAGUGAUCCGGUGGUUCCGCAUGGAAGGGCCAUCGCUCAACGGAUAAAAGCUACCCUGGGGAUAACAGGCUUAUCUCCCCCAAGAGUCCACAUCGACGGGGAGGUUUGGCACCUCGAUGUCGGCUCGUCGCAUCCUGGGGCUGUAGUCGGUCCCAAGGGUUGGGCUGUUCGCCCAUUAAAGCGGCACGCGAGCUGGGUUCAGAACGUCGUGAGACAGUUCGGUCCCUAUCCGUCGCGGGCGUUGGAAAUUUGAGAGGAGCUGUCCUUAGUACGAGAGGACCGGGAUGGACUUACCGCUGGUGUACCAGUUGUUCUGCCAAGGGCAUUGCUGGGUAGCUAUGUAGGGAAGGGAUAAACGCUGAAAGCAUCUAAGUGUGAAGCCCACCUCAAGAUGAGAUUUCCCAUUUCUUUAAGAAAGUAAGACCCCUGAGAGAUGAUCAGGUAGAUAGGUUGGAAGUGGAAGGCUAGUGAUAGUUGGAGCGGACCAAUACUAAUCGGUCGAGGACUUAACCAA